rnacentral:rRNA from 1 species
ACCUCGGAUCAGGUAAGGAUACCCGCUGAACUUAA